rnacentral:lncRNA from 1 species
AAAAAUUGUGUAACUAGGGGAAUGUGAAACACAGUCUAGGGAGAGGAAACCUAGCUACUGGGAGGCUGGUAUUCAAUUAUUUGGAAACUGGUGUCUAUUCCAAGAAGCACAGUGAAUGGGCUUCCGGGCACCAAGAGCGGGCUGUUCUAGGAGGAAAGGGGCCGGCCCUACCUGUGCUCUGCCCUUGGGCUGCAAAUGGAUUCUGGCCGGAGCUUAGCCAGGUUGUAUUUCCGGCUCAGAGAGGGUCUGGGUGGGACGUCAAGGGAAUCAUUCCAUGUUUAGGAUAAUGGAACAUGUUGAGUUGGUAUGCAAGUUUUUGUCUUCAAUCCCAGAUAUCCAAAAAGCUCUUUGAAACACAGGAAAGAUUGGCCCUAUUUCUCUUUAGGUAUCAUUAUUUAUCUAAAUCUCCGGAGCCAUUGAGGACCAAGAUCAUACUUGCUGAAUAAAUGCACGGAACAGGAUCAGAGGAUAGACACAGAAUGGGCCAAGAAGAGAAAUAUUAUUCCUCAUAAGAGCUUGCUUGAUUGCCACCACCAAGGACAUCCCCAAACCAGGGGCAAGAAGGACCAUCAGUAAUUCUUUCCCAUAAAUAGUGACAGGAAGAAAAUAAACGCCCUAUUCUUCAAUGAUUUGAACCACCUCUGGAGCACGAACUUCCUCUAAAUUCACAGGGCAAAUAUCCAUCAUGGGGCAGGUAUCUAUGCUGCCAUGGAAAGUAACAUAAAAUGUACUAAGUCAUCACAGGGAGUUUUAAUUUUGUUUUUAAGGUCAAUUGCCAUGCUGGGGUAAAAAGCAUUGAUCCUUGCCUUUUAUCACCGGAAAAAUUCUUCACCAGUACUUUGUGAAAAUCUCGCCUCAUCAGGGCUGCCAAGGUCAAUGCAACCUAAGUAACCAAGCUGGGAGAUGCUUGCCUAAUUAUUAAAUAUUUAGCAAACAGUUUGUGACUAUUUAACUGUUUGCACCUGGCACCCUCUUUUCACUACGUGAGGCCUCCUGGCACCCUGACCUCUUCCCCCACCCCUACCCACUGCCCAGGCCGCCAGCACCCCUGGGGGGCAAAUACCGGGACCCAAGGGCAUUUCAAAGAAACAGCAGAGGUCACAUUCCAUUUCCUUUUUAUUAAAAAACAUACUUAAAAUGGGGGAGGAGGGCACAGAUCUAAGGUAAAAUCUCUUGCAGUUUUUUCAAGUUCGCAUGCACCGUUGAAAGUUCAUUAGUUAGGGAUUUAAAAGCAAAAAUGUUUCACACAACCAAUUAAACGCCAAGCUUUACAAACGCCUUGGUCUUUGGUUUUGGGAAUCUGUAAAAGUCCG